rnacentral:rRNA from 1 species
UACGUAGGGGGCAAGCGUUGUCCGGAAUCAUUGGGCGUAAAGCGUGCGUAGGCGGUUUAGUGUGUGGGAUUUGAAAGCCCGGGGCUCAACUCCGGAUCCGGAUCCCAAACUGCUAGACUCGAGCGUAUCAGAGGACAGUGGAAUUCCCGGUGUACGCGGUAAUAUGCGUAGAUAUCGGGAGGAACACCAGUGGCGAAGGCGACUGUCUGGGGUAUUGCUGACGCUGAGGCACGAAAGCCAGGGGAGCGAACGGG